CACCCCGCCGCCCUCGCCCCAUCACCUCCACAGCCCGCCCCGCCCGCACGCCGGCCGCUACCACCGCGUCGCCCUCGGCUCACCCCGUCGCCUUGGCCACCGUCUGCGCGUGGCCCUCCCGGAUGUCCAGCUCCACCUCGUCGCCGACCCGUAGAUCUUGCGCUACCGCUCGAACCCCGUCGAGUUGAAGUAGGCGCGGGCGGCCUCCUUGUCGCCGCCGCCCGCGGCCUCGGCCUGCGCGCGCCGCCUGUGCUCGGGUCGGAGAGCGACACCGCCGCAGCCAGCCGCGGCCGCCGGUCAGCCUCGGCCAUCCCCGGAGCUCGGUCAGCCGCCGACACGAGCAGCAGCAUGGAGCAGAUUUUGAAGGGAAGAUCCCGCCCUUCGUGCUCUCCUUGAUCCAACGAAGGCAGCGUUCAGGCGCUGCUGGUUCCUCUUCGCCGUGUUCAGCCAAAUGCAGUUUGAGCGGCCGUGGAGUACCGGGAGUUGGUGAAUUCUGCUUAUAUUCUGGUUGCUCUUUGGACUAGAUGACACCUGCAAGAGCUAAAUGGUGGCAGUCGCUGCUGUUCAGAUGAGUCCAGUUGUGCUAGCAGUAGUAAGCAUUGCAUUUUUUAGCUUGCAGUUCCUACGAGCUCAUGGAAGUGAACUGCUUCUGAGCUGUGGCUCAAACGGCACUGUUGAUGCUGAUGGUCGGAGAUGGAUCGGGGACAUGGGUCCUGGGGGCAAUUUUACCUUGAGUAGCUCUUAACCUACUCAACGGUUAAGAGACGGCGCCGGCACGCCAGCCACCUGCAAUGGUUGAUUUGAGUAUCAGGUUCACUGUAUUAUGUAGGUUCACUGCAUCAGAGGAGCAUUUGAGUAUCAGGUUCACUGCAAGAAUACAUGUAUUUCAGGUUCACUGCAAGAAUACAUGUAUUUCAGGUUCACUGCAAGAAUACAUGUAUUUCAGGUUCACUGCAAGAAUACUGUAUCAGUGGAAAUAUAUAAUACUCAAUCAAAAUAAUAUUUCAGACAAUCAAGUGUAUUUCUGGGUCAGAUAGUCUUGCACCAAGAUAGUAAGUGGCCUGUGGUAUGUCUGAAUGAAUCAACAUUCUUGCCCUGCAAGAUAUCUGUAUUAUUCAGGUAACUCCAUACUGAAAUUUGUAUGACUGAAAUUUGUAUUCAGAUAACUCCAUACUAAAAUAUUCAGAAUC